AAUGAACGCUGGCGGCAUGCCUUACACAUGCAAGUCGAACGGCAGCAUGACCUAGCUUGCUAGGUUGAUGGCGAGUGGCGAACGGGUGAGUAAUACAUCGGAACGUGCCUUUUAGUGGGGGAUAACGUAGCGAAAGUUACGCUAAUACCGCAUAUUCUCUGAGGAGGAAAGCAGGGGACCUUCGGGCCUUGCGCUAGAAGAGCGGCCGAUGUCGGAUUAGCUAGUUGGUGAGGUAAAGGCUCACCAAGGCAACGAUCCGUAGCGGGUCUGAGAGGAUGAUCCGCCACACUGGGACUGAGACACGGCCCAGACUCCUACGGGAGGCAGCAGUGGGGAAUUUUGGACAAUGGGCGCAAGCCUGAUCCAGCCAUGCCGCGUGAGUGAAGAAGGCCUUCGGGUUGUAAAGCUCUUUCGGCUGGGAAGAAAUCGCACCCUCUAAUACAGGGUGUGGAUGACGGUACCAGCAUAAGAAGCACCGGCUAACUACGUG
rnacentral:rRNA from 1 species